UACGUAGGGUGCGAGCGUUGUCCGGAAUUAUUGGGCGUAAAGGGCUCGUAGGCGGUUUGUCGCGUCGGGAGUGAAAUCCACUGGCUUAACUGGUGGCUUGCUUUCGAUACGGGCAGACUGGAGGUAUGCAGGGGAGAACGGAAUUCCUGGUGUAGCGGUGAAAUGCGCAGAUAUCAGGAGGAACACCGGUGGCGAAGGCGGUUCUCUGGGCAUGUCCUGACGCUGAGGAGCGAGAGCGUGGGGAGCGAACGGG
rnacentral:rRNA from 1 species